UACGGGGGGAGCAAGCGUUGUUCGGAUUUACUGGGCGUAAAGGGCGCGUAGGCGGCCACCGCAAGUCGAUUGUGAAAUCUCCGGGCUUAACCCGGAAAGGUCAACCGAUACUGCGGGGCUAGAGUGCAGAAGGGGCAACUGGAAUUCUCGGUGUAGCGGUGAAAUGCGUAGAUAUCGAGAGGAACACCUGCGGCGAAGGCGGGUUGCUGGGCCGACACUGACGCUGAGGCGCGAAAGCCAGGGGAGCGAACGGG
rnacentral:rRNA from 1 species